rnacentral:lncRNA from 1 species
AUGCAGCUCCUUGGAGAUAGUCCACAGCUCUUAUCUACUAACUCUGAUAUUCAAGACUUAAGUCAAGGAGCUCCAUGCCUUGAGAGAUACAAAACCUCCACAGAGAUGUUACAUGUGAAACCGGUUUUUAAACACGGCGAUGGAAAUGAGAUACAUAUCUUUAAGAAAAUGGAGGCUUCCUUUGGAAAAUCUGAUUUUUUUCAUCUUUUGAAAGCAUACACAAAAGAAUGGUAGGUUUAAUUAAUUUUUUUUUUUCUUUUUGCAGAGGUCAUAAUUUGCAAUUUCAAGAGUAGUGAUCUUCAAAAAAAAAAAAUCAAAUUCAACCUGUUCUUUAAUCUGGGCUUUCUUUGAGUCUCUCCUUUUUCAGUAGACAUGUCCACUAGUCCUUAACCUGAUUUAUGUGAUUGGCCAAUUGUGAGUUAAUGAAGGGGAUAAAAUGUUUUCUGGAAUGCUGGGAUAAUCGACAAAUAGCAAUGACCAGUAACUGGACCACGGCCAAGACAGGAACUUAAUCCCCUGAAGUCCAAGGGUAUUGUGAAGUUUCACUGAAGUGGGAACUGAAAGAAACUAGUUACAUCAUUCCAUUUGUUUCCUUAUACUGGGACAAAUGUGCUCACUCCAGUAAGCAUAUUUGAAGACUAAUUAUACAGAGAGAAAACAAAUUAGGAAGGAAUUUCUCUACUUUUAGGCGUAUGCAAUUUCAAGUGUGGUUUAAGAUUUUUAAUCCUCUUCCUUUCUAGCAGCUUUUUACUGUUUGAUGCAUUCAGUGUGGGUUGUUUCUUCCAGAGGUCACACAGUCUCACCCCCUACCAGUGCUUUCCUUAAUGAUGCGAAGCAGUUCUCUCACCCUCUGUCAAACAUUUUGCCUGAAUUCUCAGUGGCAACACAAGAGCUGAAUGGUUCAGCUGCAAGGAUUAAAGAGGUGGGUUUAAAAUGUAUGUAUAUCCUUCAAGUGUAAAAUUUAAAUUACAAAAUAGAGACACCCUUGCUUGCUCUGCGUCGGAUUUCAUGUAAAGGUCAGAAUUCAUCACUGCUGGGGUCCCACUGGAUUGAAGAAGUUUCGUUAAGGAUGAACUUGGGGCUAUUUACUACAGACAAGGCUUGUCAGCUUGGAUCUUUCUGGUUUUGAAUGCACACCUCAAAAUAAGUAGUAGGGGAGAACGGGAACAAGAUUAUCAGGUGGCUAGCACAUAGUAACUGAGUGCAAAAGUUAAAACUAUAUACAUGAGGCCUU